rnacentral:rRNA from 1 species
GUCCACGCCCUAAACGAUGCACGUUUGGUGUGGGUGAUUCAGUUCAUCCGUGCCGGAGCUAACGCGUUAAACGUGCCGCCUGGGGAGUACAGUCGCAAGGCUGAAACUCAAAGGAAUUGACGGGGGCCCGCACAAGCGGUGGAGCAUGUGGUUCAAUUAGACGCAACGCGAAGAACCUUACCUGGGCUCGAACGGCUGGUCAACGGUCGCUGAAAGGCGGCUACCCCGCAAGGGGGUCCAGUCGAGGUGCUGCAUGGCUGUCGU